UUCCCUCUAUUCCAAUUUUUUUAAAGUAUUUGACAGUUAUAUCAGCGUCCAAAUGAAAGUACUCCCUCCGUCCCAUAAUAUAAUAUCUUAUUACAUUCAUUUUGCUCACAAAUUGGGUGUAAUAAGAUCUUAUAUUAUGGGAUGGAGGGAGUACAAUCGAUUCAUAUUCUGUGCAUCUUUGUACUUACCGUUGCUGGAUGAAAAUUUGGACAUACAUAGAUAGCUCCAGAUGUAGCCUAAAUGUUUUUUUACUCGCAGCUGCUACGCUACUGCUCGCCUACCCCCGCAGCUAGCCUACCCGCCGCUGCUCGCCUACGCGAGGUGUUCGACGGAAAAUUCCCUUCAAGGACGGCAUCACGUGGGCGACCAUGGUGUCUGCAUCCCGCCAGUUCGCGCCCUCCAUAUGCCUGGACGUUGGUCUGAACCUUCUGGCCGGCUACAAAAGCAAGCACUCAGGCAGCUGGAUGGAUUCCGGGCGCACAGCUUGCCGUGAACCUUAAAUUGCUGCUCCAACAGGUAGCAAACCAAUCAUUUGAUAUUUGAGGGACAACAGUCAGCAGGCGCUUUGAGGAAGCAUUGGUGCUGGCAAACAAAAGAAUGCUUUAGGUAUACCUAUUUACACUUUUCAAUUGGUUUGAUGCCAUCUGUAUGUGAUUCACUGACCAAGAAUGGAAAUAUUCCUUGCUAUUAGAAAUUUCUAUGGUGGUGCUUCUUUAGGUUCCACCUGAUGAAUGUUCCAGUGCCAAUAAUCGGUUAUAUAUACUUUGUAAUGGUGAUUCCUAAUUUGGUCUAACUUUCUAACUAUUAGCUACAGUUCACUUCAGUGGUAAUGCAGGUACGCAAAGGAAGAAUUACUGGCUAUGGAUGAUUACUAUGAGCGUAUGAAAUUAUUAAUUGUGUAGGUUUCUUAAGCUAGAUGGGUUGUUCUAGCUUGUGAUGGUUAAAUUUUUUACACAAUAGCAGUACUAGAUUAGUUGUUCUAGCUUCUUUAGGCUGUAACCAUUUGAAGGUAAUUUGAAGAUCGAUCCCACAGCUGAGUAUAUUCUGUUUUUUAUUAACCCGCAACAGAGUGUGUAUAGGAAAGUGUACUUUUGUGAAUUGUUAGUGCUCGCUUUUCUUACUGUACUGUAUCAGGCUGCUCAUGUUCAAAUUCUUCAGCGUUUUGUACACAUGAAAGGUACUUUUGUAAAUCAGUUUUUCAAAUUGGCAUCGAUAAGAUGCAUGUAUCCUUCUAAAAAAUUAACACCAAUGUUUCAUUUUUUUGUGAGAUCAUUCCUUUUCUUUUGGACAGCUUUUGAAGAUUUUUAAGAUAGCUUUUUCUGUGGGCAAGCUGGACUUGAUACUCAAAGGACCUUAAGUUCUAACCAAAGAUGACAAUGUGGAUGGUCACAUUAUAAAGUGUUUUUUUUUCUCACACACAUGUAAGUUUUGUCUCACUGUGUAUUAAAAGAAUGGUGAAAAGGUGAGAAUCAGUAUAAAGUGGGGACAGAGGAUCAUGCUUUCAAAGUUGGUCAGGUUUCACAAUAAUACUUGUGCAUGUGUUUGUGUGUCAUCAUCUUUAUAAUGGGUGUGAUGGAUGUUGUAGGUUCAUUGGUGACAACCAAGAGCAUGCUCAAAAAUGGCAUCGUCUUGCUUCGUUUCUUCGCCUCAGCUUAAGUGCUUAAUCUUGAGAAGAUGAGAGAUAAUUGAUAGAGUACUCCUGACAAGUGCAUUUGUCAAAUUCUAGCCAACAGAUUGAAAGCAUGUCUACCUAUUUGUGAGUUUCAGUUCCAUUCAAUCUUCCUUUUCUUUUUGGAUCCAAAGUAGAGGAGAUCAUGUGACUGGUUGUUGAUUGCCCAAACACUAUUUCCUCUACAAGAGUGUAAA